rnacentral:rRNA from 1 species
CCUACGGGAGGCAGCAGUGGGGAAUAUUGGGCAAUGGAGGAAACUCUGACCCAGCGACGCCGCGUGCGGGAUGAAGGCCUUCGGGUUGUAAACCGCUUUCAGUAGGGAAGAAGCGAAAGUGACGGUACCUACAGAAGAAGCACCGGCUAACUAUGUGCCAGCAGCCGCGGUAAUACAUAGGGUGCAAGCGUUGUCCGGAAUUAUUGGGCGUAAAGAGCUCGUAGGUGGUUCGUCACGUCGGAUGUGAAAAUCUGGGGCUCAACCCCAGACCUGCAUUCGAUACGGGCGAUCUAGAGUGUGGUAGGGGAGACUGGAAUUCCUGGUGUAGCGGUGGAAUGCGCAGAUAUCAGGAGGAACACCAAUGGCGAAGGCAGGUCUCUGGGCCAUUACUGACACUGAGGAGCGAAAGCGUGGGGAGCGAACAGGAUUAGAUACCCUGGUAGUCCACGCCGUAAACGGUGGGCACUAGUUGUGGGAACCUUCCACGGUUUCUGCGACGCAGCUAACGCAUUAAGUGCCCCGCCUGGGGAGUACGAUCGCAAGAUUAAAACCUUAAAGGAAUUGACGG